AGAGUUUGAUCCUGGCUCAGGAUGAACGCUAGCGACAGGCCUAACACAUGCAAGUCGAGGGGCAGCGCGGGAGAAGCUUGCUUUUCCUGGCGGCGACCGGCGCACGGGUGCGUAACAGGUGUGCAAUCUGUCCUAUACCGGGGCAUAGCCCAGCGAAAGUUGGAUUAAUUCUCCAUGUGAGACGAAGCCGCAUGACUUUGUUUUGAAACGUAAGGGUAUAGGGUGAGCACGCUUCUGAUUAGAUAGUUGGUGAGGUAACGGCUCACCAAGUCGACGAUCAGUAGGGGUUCUGAGAGGAAGGUCCCCCACAUUGGAACUGAGACACGGUCCAAACUCCUACGGGAGGCAGCAGUGAGGAAUAUUGGUCAAUGGGCGAGAGCCUGAACCAGCCAAGUCGCGUGAAGGAUGAAGGUUCUAUGGAUUGUAAACUUCUUUUGUCCGAGGGUAAAAAAGGCCACGUGUGGCUUCUUGCAAGUAUCGGACGAAUAAGCAUCGGCUAACUCCGUGCCAGCAGCCGCGGUAAUACGGAGGAUGCGAGCGUUAUCCGGAUUUA
rnacentral:rRNA from 1 species